UCGGCGGGCCGCCCCGCGUCUCCGGACGGCGGGGUCCGCCGGCGGCCCACGAAACUCUNGUCGGUAUUUGGCAUCUCUGAACGCAAACUAAAAUCAGUUAAAACUUUCAACAACGGAUCUCUUGGUUCUGGCAUCGAUGAAGAACGCAGCGAAAUGCGAUAAGUAGUGUGAAUUGCAGAAUUCAGUGAAUCAUCGAAUCUUUGAACGCACAUUGCGCCCGCCAGUAUUCUGGCGGGCAUGCCUGUUCGAGCGUCAUUUCAACCCUUGGGCCCCCGUUGCUCAGCGUUGGGAGACCGCGCCUCACCGCGCGCCUCCCCAAAGUCAGUGGCGGAGCCGGCUGGCGCCCCAGACGUAGUAGAAUCCCUAUCUCGCCUGCAGCGCCCCCCGGCCUCCCGCCGUAAAACACCCCACGCCAAAAAGGUUGACCUCGGAUCAGGUAGGAAUACCCGCUGAACUUAAGCAUAUCAAUAAGCGGAGGAAAAGAAACCAACAGGGAUUGCCCCAGUAACG
rnacentral:rRNA from 1 species